rnacentral:lncRNA from 1 species
UCGUCGGGUGCUGCAGGUUGUUGCUCCUCCACCUGAGCGGCAAAGACUCGGCCGCUAGGCGCUCUCGAUCCCUCCGGCUGACGCGGUACUGACGCGCGCCCAGCCGACAUCGCCGGUGGCAACCCCGCAAGCUGUCUCGGGGUAGACGGUGUUGAAGCCGCCGUCGGCGCAGACGACGUCCAUGUCGGGCACUCCCGGAUAAGAUGUCCCGGUUGGCCACACUUGAAACACUUGCCAUCGCGCUGCGGGCAAGUCGACACCUUGUGCUCACCACCACAAAUAACACAUCGAGGUGGUCUCCAAUUCCUCGCCUGCUGUCGGGGAUACCGAGGGGGUUUCUUAGCAUUUGGCCGGCCCCCGGUACCACCCGCCGCUCUCUUCUUGCCCUUGUCC